UCGAACGAAGUUAUUUGAGCUUGCUUAGAUAACUUAGUGGCGGACGGGUGAGUAACACGUGAGCAAUCUGCCUUUCAGAGGGGGAUACCGAUUGGAAACGAUCGUUAAUACCGCAUAACAUAGUAAAUUCGCAUGUUUUUACUAUCAAAGAUUUAUCGCUGAAAGAUGAGCUCGCGUCUGAUUAGGUAGUUGGUGAGGUAACGGCCCACCAAGCCGACGAUCAGUAGCCGGACUGAGAGGUUGAACGGCCACAUUGGGACUGAGACACGGCCCAGACUCCUACGGGAGGCAGCAGUGGGGAAUAUUGCACAAUGGAGGAAACUCUGAUGCAGCGAUGCCGCGUGAGGGAAGAAGGUUUUCGGAUUGUAAACCUCUGUGUACAGGGACGAUAAUGACGGUACCUGUUCAGAAAGCUCCGGCUAACUACGUGCCAGCAGCCGCGGUAAUAC
rnacentral:rRNA from 1 species